rnacentral:rRNA from 1 species
GAUGAACGCUGGCGGCGUGCCUAAUACAUGCAAGUCGAGCGAACGGACGAGAAGCUUGCUGCUCUGAUGUUAGCGGCGGACGGGUGAGUAACACGUGUAUAACCUACCUAUAAGACUGGGAUAACUUCGGGAAACCGGAGCUAACACCGGAUGAUAUUUUGAACCGCAUGGUUCAAAAGUGAAAGACGGUCUUGCUGUCACUUAUAGAUGGAUCCGCGCUGCAUUAGCUAGUUGGUAAGGUAACGGCUUACCAAGGCAACGAUGCAUAGCCGAACUGAGAGGGUGAUCGCCCACACUGGAACUGAGACACGGUCCAGACUCCUACGGGAGGCCGCAGUAGGGAAUCUUCCGCAAUGGGCGAAAGCCUUACGGAGCAACGCCGCGUGAGUGACGAAGGUCUUCGGAUCGUAAAACUCUGUUAUUAGGGAAGAACAUAUGUGUAAGUAACUGUGCACAUCUUGACGGUACCUAAUCAGAAAGCCACGGCUAACUACGUG